rnacentral:rRNA from 1 species
UGGCGAACGGGUGAGUAACACGUGGGUGAUCUGCCCUGCACUCUGGGAUAAGCCUGGGAAACUGGGUCUAAUACCGGAUAGGACCAUGCUUUAGUGUGUGUGGUGGAAAGUUUUUCGGUGUAGGAUGAGCCCGCGGCCUAUCAGCUUGUUGGUGGGGUAAUGGCCUACCAAGGCGGCGACGGGUAGCCGGACUGAGAGGUUGGUCGGCCACAUUGGGACUGAGAUACGGCCCAG